GACGGCCCAUCAUCGCCGACCAUCCUCCUCGUCGACUGACGCUACCUCUGCCCUCUGCGUAAGGUGAAAAUUAACAUUUACCAUAAUGUCAAAUCCAAAAAAUCAAGAUCCUAAAUGGGACCAUGGUACACCGGUUUUGGAUAAGGGCACUACACAUGUGCGUUGCAAAUAUUGUAAAAAAAUAACGAAGGGUGGAAUUUUAUCGACAUAAAUUGCAUCUUAUUGGAGGGAAUAGAAAUGUUACGGGGUG